rnacentral:rRNA from 1 species
GACGAACGCUGGCGGCGUGCUUAACACAUGCAAGUCGAACGAUGAUGCCCAGCUUGCUGGGUGGAUUAGUGGCGAACGGGUGAGUAACACGUGAGUAACCUGCCCCUGACUCUGGGAUAAGCGUUGGAAACGACGUCUAAUACUGGAUAUGACUGCCGGCCGCAUGGUCUGGUGGUGGAAAGAUUUUUUGGUUGGGGAUGGACUCGCGGCCUAUCAGCUUGUUGGUGAGGUAAUGGCUCACCAAGGCGACGACGGGUAGCCGGCCUGAGAGGGUGACCGGCCACACUGGGACUGAGACACGGCCCAGACUCCUACGGGAGGCAGCAGUGGGGAAUAUUGCACAAUGGGCGAAAGCCUGAUGCAGCAACGCCGCGUGAGGGAUGACGGCCUUCGGGUUGUAAACCUCUUUUAGUAGGGAAGAAGGGAGCUUGCUCUUGACGGUACCUGCAGAAAAAGCACCGGCUAACUACGUGCCAGCAGCCGCGGUAAUACGUAGGGUGCAAGCGUUGUCCGGAAUUAUUGGGCGUAAAGAGCUCGUAGGCGGUUUGUCGCGUCUGCUGUGAAAUCCCGAGGCUCAACCUCGGGCUUGCAGUGGGUACGGGCAGACUAGAGUGCGGUAGGGGAGAUUGGAAUUCCUGGUGUAGCGGUGGAAUGCGCAGAUAUCAGGAGGAACACCGAUGGCGAAGGCAGAUCUCUGGGCCGUAACUGACGCUGAGGAGCGAAAGCAUGGGGAGCGAACAGGAUUAGAUACCCUGGUAGUCCAUGCCGUAAACGUUGGGCGCUAGAUGUAGGGACCUUUCCACGGUUUCUGUGUCGUAGCUAACGCAUUAAGCGCCCCGCCUGGGGAGUACGGCCGCAAGGCUAAAACUCAAAGGAAUUGACGGGGGCCCGCACAAGCGGCGGAGCAUGCGGAUUAAUUCGAUGCAACGCGAAGAACCUUACCAAGGCUUGACAUACACCGGAAACGGCCAGAGAUGGUCGCCCCCUUGUGGUCGGUGUACAGGUGGUGCAUGGUUGUCGUCAGCUCGUGUCGUGAGAUGUUGGGUUAAGUCCCGCAACGAGCGCAACCCUCGUUCUAUGUUGCCAGCGCGUUAUGGCGGGGACUCAUAGGAGACUGCCGGGGUCAACUCGGAGGAAGGUGGGGAUGACGUCAAAUCAUCAUGCCCCUUAUGUCUUGGGCUUCACGCAUGCUACAAUGGCCGGUACAAAGGGCUGCGAUACCGUAAGGUGGAGCGAAUCCCAAAAAGCCGGUCUCAGUUCGGAUUGAGGUCUGCAACUCGACCUCAUGAAGUCGGAGUCGCUAGUAAUCGCAGAUCAGCAACGCUGCGGUGAAUACGUUCCCGGGCCUUGUACACACCGCCCGUCAAGUCAUGAAAGUCGGUAACACCCGAAGCCGGUGGCCUAACCCUUGUGGAAGGAGCCGUCGAAGGUGGGAUCGGUGAUUAGGACUAAGUCGUAACAAGGUAGCCGUACCGGAAGG